rnacentral:pre_miRNA from 1 species
GGAACGCAUAUUAAUUAUCCCCGAUGGGAUAAACAAAAACCCUGAAAAAACAAGUUAGCACACCUUAGAAUGGUUCUAGCACGAUUAAUAACAUAUGGCUCUGAUGCCAGUUGAUGAGAAAAACUC